GACGAACGCUGGCGGCGUGCCUAAUACAUGCAAGUCGAACGAGAGCGACCGGUGCUUGCACUGGUCAAUCUAGUGGCGAACGGGUGAGUAACACGUGGGUAACCUGCCCAUCAGAGGGGGAUAACAUCCGGAAACGGAUGCUAAAACCGCAUAGGUCUUCGAACCGCAUGGUUUGAAGAGGAAAAGAGGCGCAAGCUUCUGCUGAUGGAUGGACCCGCGGUGCAUUAGCUAGUUGGUGAGGUAACGGCUCACCAAGGCCGUGAUGCAUAGCCGACCUGAGAGGGUGAUCGGCCACAUUGGGACUGAGACACGGCCCAAACUCCUACGGGAGGCAGCAGUAGGGAAUCUUCCGCAAUGGACGCAAGUCUGACGGAGCAACGCCGCGUGAGUGAAGAAGGUUUUCGGAUCGUAAAACUCUGUUGUUAGAGAAGAACAAGUGCUAGAGUAACUGUUAGCGCCUUGACGGUAUCUAACCAGAAAGCCACGGCCAACUACGUG
rnacentral:rRNA from 1 species